rnacentral:pre_miRNA from 1 species
GGAUGAUGGUGGUGAUGAUGAUGAUGAUGAUGAUGAUGAUGAUGAUGAUGAGGAUCAUCAUCAUCAUCAUUAUUAUGAUCACCAAAUUCA